rnacentral:lncRNA from 1 species
UCUUUCUGGCUGCCGCAGCUAACCUUCACCACCUUCACCAUCGCCGCAAAUGCAAGCCUUCAACCUUCCAGUCACUAGACGGCUCGGUGGCACUCCUCCAUCCUUUUCUUUUCUUUUUUUUAUUGCAAGCUUUCUUUAGAUAGCUGCAACAUUUUCCGAUAGGUUAUUUUCUUCCCCAUCCUUAUUUUCUUCCACGUACCACUAUUGUUUAGAGGGGGCUGCUCCAGUGCUGUGU